AUUGAACGCUGGCGGCAGGCCUAACACAUGCAAGUAGAACGAGUGGCGGACGGGUGAGUACUGUCUGGGAAACUGCCUGAUGGAGGGAGAUACCUACUGGCAACGGUAGCUAAUACCGCAUACCAUCCGAUGUUCCCGGAUUGGCUUAGCUUGUUGGUGGGGUAACGGCUAACCAAGGCGACGAUCCCUAGCUGGUCUGAGAGGAUGACCAGCCACACUGGAACUGAGACACGGUCCAGACUCCUACGGGCGGCAGCAGGUGGGAAUAUUGCACAAUUGGCGCAAGCCUGAUGCAUCCAUGCCGCGUGUAUGAAGAAGGCCUUCGGGUUGUAAAGUACUUUCAGCGGGGAGGCGUUACCCGCAGAAGAAGCACCGGCUAACUCCGUGCCAGCCGCCGCGGUAAUAC
rnacentral:rRNA from 1 species